rnacentral:rRNA from 1 species
UACGUAGGCAGCAAGCGUUGUUCGGAGUUACUGGGCGUAAAGGGCGCGUAGGUGGUUGUGUAAGUGAGAUGUGAAAUCCCCUGGGCUUAACCUAGGAACUGCAUCUUAUACUGCAUAACUGGAGUACUGUAGAGGGUAGUGGAAUUUCCGGUGUAGCGGUGAAAUGCGUAGAGAUCGGAAGGAACACCAGUGGCGAAGGCGGCUACCUGGACAGAUACUGACACUGAGGCGCGAGAGCGUGGGGAGCAAACAGG